UAUGCCAUGCUUUCUGGUUUUCAACAGUUUCUAAUAUUAUCUGCAGGCACAGGGGAUAGAGAGCUGGGUCUGGACUCAGAAGACUUAGCUUUGUCUUCCUGAGUUCAAAUCUGGCCUCAGACU